rnacentral:rRNA from 1 species
UGUGCCUACGGGAGGCAGCAGUGGGGGAUAUUGCACAAUGGGGGAAACCCUGAUGCAGCGACGCCGCGUGAGCGAUGAAGUAUUUCGGUAUGUAAAGCUCUAUCAGCAGGGAAGAAAAUGACGGUACCUGACUAAGAAGCCCCGGCUAACUACGUGCCAGCAGCCGCGGUAAUACGUAGGGGGCAAGCGUUAUCCGGAUUUACUGGGUGUAAAGGGAGCGUAGACGGCAGUGCAAGUCUGAAGUGAAAGGCAAGUGCUCAACGCUUGGACUGCUUUGGGAACUGUGCUGCUCUAGUGUAGGAGAG